CUUUCAGAUGCAGAUGGAUAAAAUCCAUGGCAGAGCACCCCAUCCCAGGAAGUAAAGCCAUCUAGCAGCAGACAAGGCAAAGUGGUCAAGGCAAUCCAUUUGGAGUAUACGUGACUCUGUCACACACUGGCUGAUGGACUGUGAUUGUUGCUCUUUGGAGUCGUGUGGAAGUAUUGCAGGACUCGGUGAUGAAGCCUCUGCCUUUUCGAUUUAAAGGAGUCAUCCGGG